UACGUAGGGGGCCAGCGUUGUUCGGAAUUACUGGGCGUAAAGGGUUCGUAGGCGGUGCGGCAAGUUGGGAGUGAAAUCUCUGGGCUCAACCCAGAGACGGCUUCCAAAACUGCUGUGCUUGAGUGUGAGAGAGGCUCGUGGAAUUGCAGGUGUAGCGGUGAAAUGCGUAGAUAUCUGCAGGAACACCCGUGGCGAAAGCGGCGAGCUGGAUCACUACUGACGCUGAAGAACGAAAGCUAGGGGAGCAAACAGG
rnacentral:rRNA from 1 species